rnacentral:rRNA from 1 species
UACGGGGGGAGCAAGCGUUAUUCGGAAUUAUUGGGCGUAAAGGGCGCGUAGGCGGCCUGGCAAGUGACGGGUGAAAGCCCUCGGCUCAACCGAGGAACUGCCUGUCAUACUGCCGGGCUUGAGUCCGGGAGAGGUGAGUGGAAUUCCCAGUGUAGCGGUGAAAUGCGUAGAUAUUGGGAGGAACACCAGUGGCGAAGGCGGCUCACUGGACCGGAACUGACGCUGAGGCGCGAAAGCGUGGGGAGCAAACAGG